AGUGAACGCUGGCGGUAGGCCUAACACAUGCAAGUCGAACGGCAGCACAGUAAGAGCUUGCUCUUACGGGUGGCGAGUGGCGGACGGGUGAGGAAUACAUCGGAAUCUACUUUUUCUUGGGUGAUAACGUGGGGAAACUUACGCUAAUACCGCAUACGACCUACGGGUGAAAUCAGGGGAUCUUCGGACCUUGCGCGAUUGAAUGAGCCGAUGUCGGAUUAGCUAGUUGGCGGGGUAAAGGCACACCAAGGCGACGAUCCGUAGCUGGUCUGAGAGGAUGAUCAGCCACACUGGAACUGAGACACGGUCCAGACUCCUACGGGAGGCAGCAGUGGGGAAUAUUGGACAAUGGGCGAAAGCCUGAUCCAGCCAUACCGCGUGGGUGAAGAAGGCCUUCGGGUUGUAAAGCCCUUUUGUUGGGAAAGAAAAGCAGUAGGUUAAUACCCCGCUGUUCUGACGGUACCCAAAGAAUAAGCACCGGCUAACUUCGUG
rnacentral:rRNA from 1 species